ACCCGCUGAACUUAAGCAUAUCAAUAAGCGGAGGAAAAGAAACCAACAGGGAUUGCCCCAGUAACGGCGAGUGAAGCGGCAACAGCUCAAAUUUGAAAUCUGGCCCCCCCCGGGGGGCCCGAGUUGUAAUUUGCAGAGGAUGCUUUGGGCGAGGCGCCUUCCGAGUUCCCUGGAACGGGACGCCACAGAGGGUGAGAGCCCCGUCUGGUCGGACGCCGAGCCUCUGUAAAGCUCCUUCGACGAGUCGAGUAGUUUGGGAAUGCUGCUCAAAAUGGGAGGUAUAUGUCUUCUAAAGCUAAAUACCGGCCAGAGACCGAUAGCGCACAAGUAGAGUGAUCGAAAGAUGAAAAGCACCUUGAAAAGGGGGUUAAACAGUACGUGAAAUUGUUGAAAGGGAAGCGCUCGUGACCAGACUUGGGGCGGGCGGAUCAGCCGGCGUUCUCGCCGGCGCACUCCGCCCGUCCCAGGCCAGCAUCAGUUCGCGCCGGGGGACAAAGGCGGCGGGAACGUGGCUCCCCAGGGAGUGUUAUAGCCCGCCGCGCCAUGCCCCGGGGGCGGACUGAGGGCCGCGCAUCACUGCAAGGAUGCUGGCGUAAUGGUCACCAGCGACCCGUCUUGAAACACGGGCCAAGGAGUCGUCCUCGUAUGCGAGUGUUCGGGUGUCAAACCCCUACGCGGAAUGAAAGUGAACGUGGGUGAGAGCUUCGGCGCAUCAUCGACCGAUCCUGAUGUUCUCGGAUGGAUUUGAGUAGGAGCAUACGGGGCCGGACCCGAAAGAAGGUGAACUAUGCCUGUGUAGGGUGAAGCCAGAGGAAACUCUGGUGGAGGCUCGCAGCGGUUCUGACGUGCAAAUCGAUCGUCAAACAUGGGCAUGGGGGCGAAAGACUAAUCGAACCUUCUAGUAGCUGGUUUCCGCCGAAGUUUCCCUCAGGA
rnacentral:rRNA from 3 species